rnacentral:lncRNA from 1 species
AGAUGUGGUUCACUGCAUUCUCCCAGGUGAAUGGGCUCCUCUAAAAAGAUGGGAGAUGUCGGCCUCUCCAGUGCACAGCACACUCAGAAUUACAAAUCUAAGGAUCUCAUGUAUCCCUGGCUGGCUUGUAACCCACAGAGAUUCUCCUGCCUCUGCCUCCCAAGUGCCAAGUGCUAGGAUUAAAGGCGGGUACCAUCAUACUCAGCCUGCAAAACUGUUCAUAAAAACAGUCUCUAACACCUUUCUGUUGCCAAACUGAAAAUCCAUCAACAGAUGUUACAGAUUAUUCCUGUAGAGAUACAUGUGAGUGAAAUCCAGACCAAGUGAAGUUUUGCCAAGCCUAGACAGAAAGACAAUCGUGGAGUCGGGAUACGGAUGACUUUGGCUGUUGCAUGUGCUUAUGUUACCAAUACAAAUAGAUUCUAUGAUAAUACGUCUAUGAAAAUGAGGAAUCCCCAUAUUGUAGAUAGAUGCCAGACAAGAUGAGUUUCAAUCAGGUUCCAGGAAUUGGUUCUGCUUAUAUUCAUGAUUGCUGUCUAGGAAAAAGUUAGAUUUUGUGGAAUGCAGGAGUUUGAAGUUGAGGUUUCCUUGUCUUGGCAUUGGCAGAACCAUUCUGGGGCUUUCUUAGGCUAUGAAGAAUCCUACCAUACGGAUCUUCCCUGUGACCUCUUCUGCUUGGUCUCUGGAUGUCCUCUCCUCUCGUGACAUGCUUGCAUCCUAACUGCGAGUUUUUAGCUGCUCAAACUGUGGAAUCAAAUGAGAUCACCACAAAGUGGCCCCACGGAUGAAAGCACUCUUUCCACAGAAACUCACUGGCACACCAGCUAAGGGCACUAUCCAAGAUUCUUCUGAAGAAAUGCAGUCUUCCAAACAGGAGGCCAGUGACGACCAAUGACAAUCCUGCUCAGUUAGAAUUCUCUGUAGGACGCAUGGUUGGUAGUGUUGUGGCUCUCCAUAAUAAACAAAAGACUGUGAGUGUUACCUCAGUGUGAGUGCACUUAAAAUUAAAACUUUGAAUCAUGCUCUCUAAAUAAAGUUGGAGCUUUAUGUGACAAUAUCAUCCUCAUUUUACAUUCUGGGCAGCUCUCCAAGCUCUGAGGUAAAAUGAGGACUCCUGGGCCUAGAUUGAAUGAACAUCCAAUUAGGAUCAAUCAAGAAAGACUUCAUGUCCCACAGCAGCUGAGUUCUCAGGUUAAACAAAGACUAUCUUUCAGUGGCCUCCUUAUGCAGUAAGAAUUUACUGUUCAGAUCUUUCUACAAGAUACGUCUUACUCUUUAGAUUUCUGGCCACUUAGAUUAGAGCAACCCAACCACUGAAGCCAUCUCUGUCACAUGAUGCUUGUGGGCAGAAGCCAGCACUUCUAUUCUCCUCCAAGUUGGACGCUUCCCUCAAAUCUCAGCCAGCUGAGAAAACAUCCUGAUCUGAAGUUUGUCCAGGCUGUCCUGGGUGAGGAUGGAGGCACACAGCCACUGUCCCUAGUUUGUGACAUCUCGCUCUCUGUGAGAUUGAAAGGUUUCAGUUCUUCAAAAUAAUAAAAUACCUUCAGUCACAAGGGACAGGUUUGUAGGGGAGGGGGAACAAAAACAUGCAACUGGUUAGAAGAAUUCCUUUUGGAAAAAAAAUGUCACACAUACACCAAGACAUCAGGACUUUCCGGCACCACCUUCCCCUCAGGGAUUCACAGAGAGGCAAUCAUUUUCAAAGGUGAAGAAGUGAGAUUUGCUCUCUGAGUUUGGUAUUUACCCAGUGUGGCCAGGACAGAAAGUCUUUUCUCCUCUUUGGCAUGAAUUGUUUUAAAUGUGGAAGAUGGAUGCCUACAAAAAAUACGAAGUUCUGGGAAAAAAAAAAAAAAAGAUCUGUUUUUCUGUCUCACAUACCAGCCCCGAUAUGUACUUAGCGACCAAAGAGUGUGUAAGAAAGAAUUCAGUGGACCUUGGUUUUGGGGUAAAGUUUGUGGGUGGCAGCAUCAGCUGUGUCCCCCAUCCAUCGAAGUCUAGAAAGGGUCAGAAAUGUAGGAUAUUCCUGUAGCUUCUUCCAACAUGCUUUUUAAAAAGCUAAAAGC